rnacentral:rRNA from 1 species
CAGUCGCCGCGGUAAUACGGAGGGGGCUAGCGUUGUUCGGAAUUACUGGGCGUAAAGCGUACGUAGGCGGCUUUGUAAGUUAGAGGUGAAAGCCUGGUGCUCAACACCAGAACUGCCUUUAAGACUGCAUCGCUUGAAUCGCGGAGAGGUGAGUGGAAUUCCGAGUGUAGAGGUGAAAUUCGUAGAUAUUCGGAAGAACACCAGUGGCGAAGGCGGCUCACUGGACGCGUAUUGACGCUGAGGUACGAAAGCGUGGGGAGCAAACAGGAUUAGAUACCCCAGUAGUCCCUGUCUCUUAUAC